CGGUAAGUCCUGUGAAACAAAGAGUAAGGAGGAUGCAGAGUGAUGGUGGGUGGGCUCGGGGAAAUCCUCACCAAAAAAAGUGACUUGAGCAGAAGCCAGGAGGAAGGGGUGGAGCGGAGGAGAGGGAGGAGUACCUUUGCCUUUUUCCAGGAACAGCAGGGAGACCAGUGUGGUUAGAACGCAGGCAGGGAGGGGUGGAAACAAUGUCAGUCGCGGGAGUUGUCUGAGGGUUUGCACAGAGGAGUGAGGAGAUCCACCUCAGACUGAUGCCGUGAGACCAGACUGAAGGUGGAGGAGGCAGCAUGGAAAUGGAGACCAGUCAGAAGGCUGAGAGUCUAGGCAAGUCCCAGGAGGCCAGGCAUGGCGGUUCAUGCCCAGCACUUUGGAGGCCGAGGCAGAUGGAUCAUCUGAGGUUGGGAGUUCGAGACCAGCCUGAACAACAUGGAGAAACCCUGUCUCUACUAAAAAUACAAAAAUAGCCAGGCAUGGUGGCACAUGCCUGUAAUUCCAGCUACUCGGGUGGAUGCAGCAGGAGAAUCGCUUGAACCCAGGAGGCGGAGGUUGCGGUGAGCUGAGAUUGCACCAUUGAACUCCAGCCUGGGCAACAAGAGUGAAACUCCUUCCAAAAAAAAAAAAAAAAGUCCCAGGAACAGGUGGUGAUUAUAGGUGAUUUUUCAAACUUUCUCAUAAACAGACUCCAGAAAUUUCUUUUCAGAGGAAAAGCUGUGAAAUUUAGUUUUUGAAUUCAAAAGUGGUAAGGUCAACACAAGAAACAUACCUAGAUUAUGUCUCCCUUAUGUAAAAUAUCCUAAAUAACACAUCAAUAAACCAAAUGCAAAAUAUAUUGCAAAAUAUAUUGCAAAAUACAAAAAUAUGGUCAGAUUUAGUUUAUCUCAACUGCAAGGAGAUUGCAGUUGCAAGGAUGAUUCAACACAAUCCACUGCAUUAUUAGCCUACAGAAGAUAACAAAAUGAUUAAUACAAGAUGACAGUAAAUACAAGAAAAAUACUUUGAUAAAUUUCAACACACAACACACAUCUCUAUAUAACUGAAAGAUCAGGAAACCAAAAAUUAUAGUUAAUGAUAUAAAAGAUUUAAACUAUACAAUUAGCAACUUGAUCAGAACUCUUCCAUAUAUGGACAUAUAAAGAACGCUGCAAUGAAAAUGUACUUAACAUGUUUACAAAAUUUACUGGGUUUAUAAUAUCUAUAAAUUUCAAAGAACUGGUUUUAUAUUGCAUUCUCAAGCAAUGGAAUCAAGUUACCAUCAAUAAUAAAAAAUGACCUUAGUGAACAUGUUGGUGUGAGUGUCCACAAGCCUUUGAAGAUUUUUUCCUGUUCUGAAAGUUGUCCAAAGUGUGUAAGUCUUCCUUGUGACUUAGAAUCCCAUGAGGAAAAAAAAUGGAAUGAUACUUUCAGGAAAAUCUGCUGACCUAGGACAAAGAGUCAGCAAAAAUAUCCUUUAAAAUAGAAGGCACAAUUAAGAUGUUUCCAGACAAACAUAAGCUGAAAGAAUUCCUCAUGAUUCAAAGCAUGGAAGUAGUUCUUCAGGCUGAAAGAAAAUGAUUCCAGGCAGAGGCAUCGAGAUUUUGGCAGGAAAGAAGACUGCUGGAAAGGCAAAUAUAUGAGUAAUUGUAUAACAGCAAUGGCUGUAAGUCUCAAACAAUAAUGUCUUGUGAAACUACCAACUUAAAUAGAAGGCAUUACAACAAUAGGGCAAAAGCAGAGGGAAGAAUGGAGUUAAAACUGCUGGAAGGCUCAUGCAUGAUUUGGAAAAGUGGUAAAAUACAAAUAUAAAGUAGGCUAUAAUACAUCAAGGGUACAUAUUUUAAUCUCUAGAGUAACCACCAAAAGAAUAAUACACUAAUGUGUAACUAAAUAGUAAUAGAGGAGGUACAAUGGAAUAAUUAAAAAAUACUUUGAAUAUUAUGAAAGAUGGCAGGAAAGGAGAAAUAAAGGAACAAAGAGCAGAGGGAACAAAGAGAACACAAAUAGUGAGAUAGUAAUGGUAAUGGUAUCAGGUCAAUGAUAGCAGUGAUUCUGUUAAAUAUAAAUGGUGUAAACAAUCCAGUUAAAAGACAGAGACUGUCAGACUGGAUUGAAAAAACCAAACCAUCGACCUGCUGUUUAUGAAACACUUAAGAACAUGAAGUGAUUGAAAGUAAGGCAAGCACUAACCAAAAGAAAAGUACACAGGCAGUGGUGUCUACAGCUAAUGGAUCACAGGCAGUUAUAGAUUUCUUUGUUCACUUUCCACCCUCACUGCUUCACUUGACUAGCCUGAAAAGGAAAAGUGGAAUGAAUAUAUUAUCAUCACACAAAACAGAUGUUAAUGUUAGAAGCAUUGAAAGAUGUCAAGUGGGACAUCUUAUAAAAAAGACAAAUCAUCCUUUGUCCCAAAUUUGUUAUAUACCUAAUAACAUAACUUUAAAAAUAUAAAGCAAAAAUCAACAGAACUAGAAGGAGAAAUAGAAUAAGUCACAAUCAGAGCUGGAGAUUUUAAUGCCAACUCUGAUGAAACAAGAAGAUAAAAAGCAAUAAUAACAUAUAUUUGAACAAAAUAAUUAUCCAAUUUCACCUAAAUGACAUAUAUGGAAUAUUAUACCCCUAAAUUGCAGAAUUUUUAAGUACAUGGGAAAAUGUACUAAAAUAGGCCAAAGGCUGUUCCACAAGCCAAGAGGCAACAAAUUUCAAAAAUUAAUUUGAAGUAGAUUAUAGACCUAAGUAUAAAAUGUAACACAAUAAACCUUCAAGAAAAAAAUAUGAGACUAUGUCCAUGACCUUCAGGUAAGCUAUUAAACAGGCUUUUCAAAGCACUACCCAAAAGAGAAAAUAUUAAUAAAAAUUGGAUAUCCAUAAAAUUUACAACUUCUGUUGAUUGACACGUCCCAUUUUAAAAGUGAAAAGCCACAAAGAAGAUAUAAGCAAUACUUGUAUCUGACAAAACAUUCAUGUAUAGAAUAAGUGCACACACACCACAUACCCCACAACCAACCCAAGGAAAAAAAACCUGGGACAGUCACUCCACAAAAUAGGAUAUAUAGAUGGCUAUGUGAUCUAUCCUAGGUUUUUUUAAAAAGCUAUCAAACACUGUAUAUUGUUGGGGCAACUGGGAGUAUUUGAGUAUGUUCUGAAUAAUAGACAUUAGGGAAUUAUUAAUCUUGUCAGGUAUGAUAAUGAUAAGUGGUAGCGUAGGAGAAUGCUUAUUUUUGAGAGGUGCAGGAGGAAGUGUCAGACAUCUGUGAUUUACUUUCAAAUGGUUUAACAGAUAGACAGCCCUACAAAUGGAUAGAUAAUCCAUAUGCAUGAUACUAUGCGUAAGUGUAUUUGUUUGUAUGAAUAGAGACCAAGAGAUAAAACAAAGGUUGCAAAGUAUUAACAAUUGUAUACAGAUGGGGGAUAUAUGGGUGUUCCUUCUACUACUCCUUAUAAUUAAAAUUCUUCAAAUAGAAAUGUAAAAAUGUAAUUGCGGUAGUCCCUCCUUAUCUGAGGGGAGUAUGUUCCAAGACCCCCAGUGGAUGCCUGAAGCCACAGAUGGUGCCAAACCCUGUAUACACUGUUUUUCCUAUACAUACCUAUGGUAAAGUUUAAUUCAUAAAUUCGGCACAAUAAGAUCAAUAAUAAAACAGAACAAUUAUAACUAUAUGCUGUAAUAAAGUUAUGUGAGUGUGGUCUCCCUGUCUCUCAGCAUCUUAUUAUACUACAGAUCUCAGCAACCUCAGCAUACUAUUUUUUCCUUCCUUAUUAAGUGAAGAACUUUCACAUUUUCACUUAAAGAACGCACUUUAUGGCUUCUCUUUGGCCUAUGUGAAUUGCCAGCAGCACUCCUCUAGCGCCUUGAGGCCACCAUUAGAUAAAACAAGGGUUCCUUGAACACAAGCAGAGGUACCCCCACUGUGGACCUAAUAACCAAGACGGUGGAGUGACUAACAGGCAGGUGAUGAAGUCAGCGUGGAACCUGAAGACAGCAUGGAACUCUGGACAAGGCAGGCUCCAUUCCCAGGGCAAGACAGAGAUCUCAUAACACUACUCAGAAUGGUGGCCCCUUUAAAACUUAGAAAUUGCUUAUUUCUGGGAUUUUUUAGUUAAUAUUUUGAGACCAAAGUUGACUGUGGGUAACUGAAACCUCAGAAAGCAGAACCGAGGAUAAGGAGGGACUGCUGUAUACCUCAGGAAAGCUGAGAAGAAAAUGUAAAAACAGAUUAUGAGAGGGAGCCCCACACGUCCUCCCAGCUCCCUGCAAGCAGCUCUCUGCAGGCUCUGCCCCAUUUAGCAGGUGGCUUUGGGGGCUCUGUGCUCCUUGUUGGGCAUGGGGGAGCUCAGCCUGUGGAAGACUUUGGCAGCACCAAGGGGCCACCCAAGUGUUUUGGGGACACUGCAGGAAGCAGUGGUCAAGCAGCCCAACAACCCGGGCUGCCCCCAUCCUCCAUAGCCCCUGGAGGGCCAGCCGUGUGUGUACCUGUCAUCGACAGUCUCCUACAUUUGCUCAGUCUUUUGCAAUCAGCGUAAAAAGAGAAAAGCAUCUGGCAUGAGCCUUGCUGCCCUCAUCCAAGAACAUGAAGUUCAUAAGAAAGCUUCAGGCUGUGUAAAAGGCACUUGCAGAAACAGAACCAUCUUGAGAAACCACCACUCUAGAGAAGGCAUCAUCCAAAACACAGAGCCAAGAGAAAACUACGGAGAGCAGAAGGGGUGAUCUUCAGGCUCGAGGGAGAAAUCAAUUCCCCAGUGCUAGUCUGAAGAGCUCCCUCUCCCCUCCCCAGCUGAGGGUCUUGGAGACCUGCAGCCCUGUCCCUCCGCACCUGCUCCAGGAGGUUACAUGGGUGCCUCAUCUCAGGCUGGGUUUUCCUAGGCUAUCAUGUCCUGGAGACAGAAUUGGGUUUCUUCAAGGUUAAUUCAACCUUCUAAUAGAUCAAUUAUUUCAAAUUCCAAAAGUAUACCAAGAAACUUGGCAAUCUUUCUCCUCCCUUCAAUAUGUAUUAUUAAUGAUUUCUCCUUCACCAUCAGCAUAAGAUCAGCAAAAGGUAUACAAGCACUGCCACUCAAGAGAUUCAAGUUUUGCUCAAAGUGCUGUGGAUGAAGCUAUAGUUUUUUGGGUAGUGCACAUAUUAUUGGUAUGAAUAUUGUAAGUGAAUAACUUCCAUACUAAUGCUCUAUCAAUAUCAUAUAGACAUUAUUUUAAUUCUCAUUAGUCCAUUAUAACAGCAAUGAUAAUUGGAAUACUAAUUGGAAUAUUAUAGAAAUUCUAUAUGAGACUUUUAAACUACAAACAAUUUUGGUUUGUCAGGCUAUAAGAAAAUAAAAUUUAUUUGAUUUUCCUUAAUAGUGAUUAUUUAAAAAGAUAAACAAAAAUAUCAUAUAUCAUAACUGUAGGAUACAUUUUAAAGUAGUAUAUUUAGAGGGAAUUUUAUAGCCUUAAAAACUUGUAAUAGAAAAGAAUCAAGCCUAAAAAUGAACUAGCUGUUAUUAACUUUAAGAAGUUACAAAACAAACAAGCUCACAAUGAGAAGACACUUCAAGACACAGAAUCACUGAGUCGAAAAUAGAUACUAAUAAAACAGAAAAAUCCAUGGGAAAUUUUCUAUACAAUAUUUGAAAAGAAAAGUAGGGGUACAGCCACUAUAGAAAACAAUAUAGAAGUCCCUGAAGAAAUUAAACCUAGAAGUACCAUAUGACCCAGCAAUGCUUCUUCCGGGUAUGUACCCAAAAAAGAUGAAAUCACCACCUCAUAAAGAUACCUGCACUCCCAUGUUCAUGGCAGCAUUAUUUACAAUAGCCAAGAUAUGGAAACAACCCAAAUGCCUAUCAAUGGAUGAAUGGAUAAAGAAAAUAUGAUUAUAUCCAUAUAUAUAUAAUGGAUAUAGAGUAUUAUUUAGCCUUUAAAAAGGAGAUCGUGCCAUUUGCCA
rnacentral:lncRNA from 10 species